GACACCAUUCGGCUGGUUAUCGACUGCACCGCUGCAAACACCUGGGUGGAGAUAGACGCUGUGAGGCUGAAAGGCUACCAGAAGUCGUGGAGUCGUUUUGCAAAACGUGAGCAUGUGAAUGAAGUGCUAGAAGAUGAGGAGGACAAGGCCGUUACAGCCGUUGAUUCCGCAGCACCAAAGAUGAGCAUCAAGCAGCUACUCGCGCACGUUAGGAAAUAGAUUUGAAAUCCGACUACGCAACCCCUACGACGACAACGGCAACUUGAAAAGUGAAGUUAUGCAAAAGAACAUGCUAAUGAUAUAAUCCAUCUUCAACAAACAUCUUGUACAGAAGCUUUGUGUCUGGUGUUGUGUUGAUGCCCCCGGUAGGGUGGCAUUAAGCAGUUGAACUGUCCGUCAGUUCGUCUAUCAGAUUGUCAGUAUGUGCGUCCGUCCGAAAACUUUAACAUUGGCCUUAACUUUUGCAAUAAUGGAGAUAUCAACUUGGUACUUGGCAUGCAUGUGUAUCUCAUGAAGCUGCACAUUGUGAGUGGUGAAAGGUUAAGGUCAAGAUCAACCUUCGAGGUCAAAAGUCAAAAAAUACAAUGCAAGGGAAGUAAUAAGCUUUAAAAGGGGGAUAAUUUCUAAACCUGCCCAAUGAUAUAUUGAAAUUUUAUUUAAAAGCGGCGCAAUCGCUUCUCACCAAGGCGACCCGGGUUUGAUCACCGUUCCCGACGCAUGUGAAUUUGGUUGGUGGUCACCAUACCGGACAGGUGGGGUUUCCUCCAGGUUAUCCGGUUUCCCCCACAGCACAAGACAACCUCAACAUUAAAAAUAUUUCAGUAAACAAUAAAUAGCUAGAAAUUGCAGCUAUCAUUCAAAAUUCGUCCCAACUUUCGGGAGUCUAACAUCAGAUUAGGAAUGAGUGCUGGGACACACUCCGGGUCCUCACCUAAUGCAGCUUCUUGCGUGGAGCGACCUCAUAAACAUUGAAAUACACACACAGGGGCAUUGGUUUCUGACAAACACAUCUCUUGUUUAUAAAUAAAAUUGCAUUUUUAUACUUGUCUGUGUUCUAUUAUUUACCUU